rnacentral:rRNA from 1 species
CAGUCGCCGCGGUAAUACGUAGGGUGCAAGCGUUAAUCGGAAUUACUGGGCGUAAAGCGUGCGCAGGCGGUUUGUUAAGACAGAUGUGAAACCCCCGGGCUCAACCUGGGAACUGCAUUUGUGACUGGCAAGCUAGAGUGUGGCAGAGGGGGGUGGAAUUCCGCGUGUAGCAGUGAAAUGCGUAGAUAUGCGGAGGAACACCGAUGGCGAAGGCAGCCCCCUGGGCCAACACUGACGCUCAUGCACGAAAGCGUGGGGAGCAAACAGGAUUAGAUACCCCUGUAGUCCCUGUCUCUUAUAC